rnacentral:rRNA from 1 species
GACAGAGGGUGCAAACGUUGUUCGGAAUCACUGGGCGUAAAGGGUGCGUAGGCGGGUCUUUAAGUCAGGGGUGAAAUCCUGGAGCUCAACUCCAGAACUGCCUUUGAUACUGAAGAUCUUGAGUUCGGGAGAGGUGAGUGGAACUGCGAGUGUAGAGGUGAAAUUCGUAGAUAUUCGCAAGAACACCAGUGGCGAAGGCGGCUCACUGGCCCGAUACUGACGCUGAUGCACGAAAGCGUGGGGAGCAAACAGG